UUUCAAAGCCCCGCGGGAGACCCCGCGGUGCGUUGUAGACUGAAGGGGCGCUAUCUCUUGCAUGGCCUGGGUGUAGGUCCGUUGGAAAGCGGCGUCACAGAGGGUGAGAAUCCCGUCGGUGACUCAGGCUCCAUGCAUCGUACGUUGCGCUUCCAUAGAGUCGGGUUGUUUGGGAAUGCAGCCCAAAACGGGUGGUAAGCUCCAUCUAAGGCUAAAUACAGGCACGAGACCGAUAGCGAACAAGUACCGUGAGGGAAAGAUGAAAAGCACUUUGAAAAGAGAGUCAAAAAGUACGUGAAACCGUUAAGAGGGAAACGGAUGGGGCUAGCAUUUGUGCCUUUGUGUCGCAAUCAGCCGGACGCCUCGCCACGGCGGCGGCGGAGGAGCCUUUCCUUCCGUGUGUCCCGCAAGGGGUGCGCGGGGGGUGGAGGGCCCCACGCCGUCCGCUCAGUGGGCGGGGUCGGCCGGUGCACUUGCGGCCGGCAGCAGGCCAACAUCAGUUCGGAAUCAUUUAGCCAGAGGCGGGCCUAACAACCCCCUCGUAGGACAGUAGCCCGUUAGCAGGGGAAGGCGGUUGUUUCAGGAACGUGUUUUCCUGCUGCAAUGUUAUAGACCCUGUGGGGCGAGUCGCGGCCCGGACUGAGGAGAUAAAGCAGCGCGCAACCCUUUGCAGAGUCCCCGCUGGGAUGGCGGGCGGACCGGGACUGCCUCCAAAGUGGGGUAAGUGCCGGACGUCCACGUCCGACCCACGGCCCUGGCCACGGGGACCAACGCAUUAUUCGCGCUUGUGAUGUUGGCGAAAUGGCGUCAUCCGACCCGUCUUGAAACACGGACCAAGGAGUCUAACAUGUACGCGAGUCUUUGGGUGGCAAACCCGCGGGCGCAAUGAAAGUGAAGGCGCGCAUUCCGUGCGCCGAGGUGGGACGUUUCCUCCCUGCGCCUCCGUUCGCGGUGGCGUCGGGUGGGGGCAGCACCAUCGACCGAUCCGGAAGGGCAACCCGGGGUCAAAGCCGGGGAGCGACUCCUGAAAGAUUUGAGUAAGAGCGUACCUGUUGGGACCCGAAAGAUGGUGAACUAUGCCUGAACAGGGUGAAGCCUGAGGAAACUCAGGUGGAAGCUCGCAGCGAUUCUGACGUGCAAAUCGAUCGUCUGAUUUGGGUAUAGGGGCGAAAGACUAAUCGAACCAUCUAGUAGCUGGUUCCCUCCGAAAUUUCCCUAAGGAUAGCUGGAACUCGAAACGCAGUUUUAUCAGGUAAAGCGAAUGACUAGAGGCCUUGGGGUCGAAAUGACCUCAACCUAUUCUCAAACUUUAAAUGGGUAAGAAGCCCGGCUUGCUUAACUGAAGCCGGGACUCAGAAUGCAAGAGUUCUAAGUGGGCCAUUUUUGGUAAGCAGAACUGGCGAUGCGGGAUGAACCGAACGCGAAGUUAAAGUGCCAAAGUUCACGCUCACCCAGAACCCAGAAAAGGUGUUGGCUGAUGAAGACAGCAGGACGGUGGCCAUGGAAGUCGGAAGCCGCUAAGGAGUGUGUAACAACUCACCUGCCGAAUCAGCCAGCCCUGAAAAUGGAUGGCGCUCAAGCGUGACACUCACACUUCGCCGUCGCCGCGAGAGGAAGACGUGACCGUCCCACUUUGCGGCGACGAGUAGGAGGGCGUGGGGGUGGUGAGGCAGCUUCGGGCGUGAGCCCGAGUGAAACCGCC
rnacentral:rRNA from 1 species